CCGGCAAGGCUGACCCAGCGACGCCGCGUGCGGGAGGACGCCCUUCGGGGUGUAAACCGCUGUCAGAGGGGACGAAACGCCAUUGUGUGAAUAGCGCAGUGGUUUGACGGUACCCUCAAAGGAAGCACCGGCUAACUCCGUGCCAGCAGCCGCGGUAAUACGGAGGGUGCAAGCGUUGUUCGGAAUCACUGGGCGUAAAGCGCGCGCAGGCGGGACUUGCAAGUCGGGAGUGAAAUCUCGGGGCUCAACUCCGAGGCUGCUACCGAAACUGCGGACCUGGAGACCGGUAGAGGUGGGUGGAAUUCCCGGUGUAGCGGUGGAAUGCGUAGAGAUCGGGAAGAACACCUGUGGCGAAGGCGGCCCACUGGGCCGGUUCUGACGCUGAGGCGCGAAAGCGUGGGGAGCAAACAGGAUUAGAUACCCUGGUAGUCCACGCCGUAAACGAUGGGCACUAGGUGCCGGGGGAACGACCCCUUCGGUGCCGCAGCUAACGCGUUAAGUGCCCCGUCCUGGGGAGUACGGCCGCAAGGCUG
rnacentral:rRNA from 1 species